UCGGGAAUUUUGGGCAAUGGGGGAAACCCUGACCCAGCAACGCCGCGUGAAGGAUGAAGUAUUUCGGUAUGUAAACUUCGAAAGAAUAGGAAGAAUAAAUGACGGUACUAUUUGUAAGGUCCGGCUAACUACGUGCCAGCAGCCGCGGUAAUACGUAGGGACCAAGCGUUGUUCGGAUUUACAGGGCGUAAAGGGCGCGUAGGCGGUGUGUCAAGUCAGUUGUGAAAUCUCCGAGCUUAACUCGGAACGGUCAACUGAUACUGUCACACUAGAGUACAGAAGGGGCAAUCGGAAUUCUUGGUGUAGCGGUGAAAUGCGUAGAUAUCAAGAGGAACACCUGAGGCGAAGGCGGGUUGCUGGGCUGAUACUGACGCUGAGGCGCGAAAGCUAGGGUAGCAAACGGGAUUAGAUACCCGCGUAGUCCCUGAGCGGGCUGGCAAGGCGCAU
rnacentral:rRNA from 1 species